UCUGUCUUAACUUUUUAAAGGGAAAAUUCACUAGUUGCUAGACCAAUAGAAACACUGGAGGUGUGGUUACCGUCCAGAUAGCCAUUUAGUAUUUGUUCUAUAGAGGGCAGUCUUGUCCCACUAAACAUACCUAUCCAGGAAAGAGUUAACUUUUCUUGGUGGCUAUUUUGACGUCAUUUUGCUUUAUCUUUAUAGUGGCCAUAACUUACGUUUUCUUUCACUUCAAAGGGUUUUCUCUUAGUUUUGUCCAGACUUAGUGUCCGCAAUUCCUGCUAUAAUUUCUGAUAUGACAGUUCGUAAACUAAGUUUCACCUCUUCCGUACAAUGGUACCUUAUAAAAUUUAGAAAGUAAAAUUAAAUUAUUUAAUCUUCUCUGUCACACAUGUCUGGGUUUAGAAUUGAUUAUAUUC